UACGGGGGGGGCAAGCGUUGUUCGGAAUCACUGGGCGUAAAGGGUGCGUAGGCGGCCGUGCAAGUCUGGCGUGAAAGCCCCGGGCUCAGCCCGGGAAGUGCGCUCGAAACUGCGCGGCUCGAGUGCCGGAGGGGAGAGUGGAAUUCCUGGUGUAGCGGUGAAAUGCGUAGAUAUCAGGAGGAAUACCGGUGGCGAAAGCGACUCUCUGGACGGCAACUGACGCUGAGGCACGAAAGCGUGGGGAGCAAACAGG
rnacentral:rRNA from 1 species